GGUUUAUGAACCUGAAAACCUACUUGAACCUUUCAUAGAUGCUCUGGAGUAUUUUCACAGCUGCAAUGGCCACGUAUAAUGUUUCACGGAGCCCGUUCUGUAGAACAAAUUACUUCUCAAUUUCUUGAACAUCAAGAAGAAAAAGAAAAACCACUAGAAAAGCUAAGACUCUCUUUUUCAUAAUUAAUACAAAUAUGGGCUUCAGGUUCAUAAACCUAACUGGGCGAAGCACAGUUCUACAGCUAACAUAAUGGCAUAAAUAAAACAGCUAGCUUUCUAUCUACC
rnacentral:misc_RNA from 1 species